rnacentral:rRNA from 1 species
GACGUAGGUGGCGAACGUUAUCCGGAAUUAUUGGGCGUAAAGGGUGCGUAGAUGGCCUGAUAAGUUAGCAGUGGGAAAUCGAGGCUCAACCUCGUGGAAGCUGGUAAUACUGUCAGGCUCGAGUGCAGGAGAGGUUAACGGAACUCCAUGUGGAGCGGUAAAAAUGUGUAGAUAUAUGGAAGAACACCAAUAACGGCGAAGGCAGUUAACUAUUCUGUUACUGACAUUGAGGCACGAAAGCGUGGGGAGCAAAACGG